rnacentral:rRNA from 1 species
UAACGCGAAGAACCUUACCAAGGCUUGACAUACACCGGAAACGGCCAGAGAUGGUCGCCCCCUUGUGGUCGGUGUACAGGUGGUGCAUGGUUGUCGUCAGCUCGUGUCGUGAGAUGUUGGGUUAAGUCCCGCAACGAGCGCAACCCUCGUUCUAUGUUGCCAGCGCGUUAUGGCGGGGACUCAUAGGAGACUGCCGGGGUCAACUCGGAGGAAGGUGGGGAUGACGUCAAAUCAUCAUGCCCCUUAUGUCUUGGGCUUCACGCAUGCUACAAUGGCCGGUACAAAGGGCUGCGAUACCGUAAGGUGGAGCGAAUCCCAAAAAGCCGGUCUCAGUUCGGAUUGAGGUCUGCAACUCGACCUCAUGAAGUCGGAGUCGCUAGUAAUCGCAGAUCAGC